UACGUAGGGUGCGAGCGUUGUCCGGAAUUAUUGGGCGUAAAGGGCUCGUAGGCGGUUUGUCACGUCGGGAGUGAAAACUCGGGGCUUAACCCCGAGCCUGCUUCCGAUACGGGCAGACUAGAGGUAUGCAGGGGAGAACGGAAUUCCUGGUGUAGCGGUGAAAUGCGCAGAUAUCAGGAGGAACACCGGUGGCGAAGGCGGUUCUCUGGGCAUUACCUGACGCUGAGGAGCGAAAGUGUGGGAGCGAACAGG
rnacentral:rRNA from 1 species